UCCAAUUUUUGAGAAAGGCUUUGUUGUGGGAGAACUUUUUAUAAAGAUCUCCUUAGUUAAAUUUUGGCGUGGAAGUGCGUAUUCAGUCUGUGGAAUUCGUAUUUCCGGGUAUGUUUCUUAUUUAAUUUUUGUAAUGUUAUUAUUUUUAAUUGUUAGUUAAAGUUUGAAUUUUUGAAGUUUAGUUAGUGUUGUUAAUAAACUAGUUAGUUUACUAUGUUUAUUUUGGCUUGGAAUUGAUUAUGUAAAUGAGUUAUUUGUGAUGACUUUUAAUAUUUUGUGAUGAAUUUCAUUAAUUAAUAAUUAUUAAUGAUAUUAAAGUUAUUUAAUGAUUAUAUUAAAUAAUUUAGUUUAAAAAUGAUUUUAAUAUUAUAAAAAUCAUUUUAAAUGAAAAUAAGGUAUUUAAAAAUAUUUUAAGUUAUAAAAUAUAACUUUUAAUAUUUAAAUGAUAAUUUCAUUAAUAAUUAAAUAUUAAUGAUAUUAAGAUAAUAUUAAUGAUAUUUAGUUUAUUUAAUGAUUAAUAUUAAAUAAAUAGUUUAAAAAUGGUUUUACUUAUUUAAAAACCAUUUAAAGAGGAUAUUAAGGAUUUAAAAAUAUUUUAAGUUAUAAUUAAUGACUUUUAAUAUUUGGAUAAAUAGUACAUUAAUAUUUAAAUAUUAAUGGUAAUUAUUUGGGUAAUAUAAAUGUUUUAAAAAUAGUUUGAGUUAUUAUAAAUAACUUUUAUAUUUUGGCAAUGGUUUCAUUAAUAGUUUAGUAUUAAUUAAACUAUUAAUGAUAAUGGAAUUGUUUAAUGUUUAAAUCAUUUAAUUAUGAUUCCGAUAUUUGAAAGUUAUAGCCGGCCAAACUAGCUGACUUGAGAACCGAUUAUGAAGUUCUGAAUUUGAAGAAGAACACCUAUAGUAACAGUUAUAUCACUAUAGGCCCUUUAGUGACAGAUUUGAAUUAUUUUAAAUUUUUCAAUUUCUGGAAAUUGCGAAAAUGAUUAAAAAUAAGAUGUCUGAUAUUUACAGAUGUUGAGGUAUAGAAUAAGAGUCUUAGACUCAGUAUUUACCCGAUAAAGCUGUCGGUACGCCGACAAAUGUCAGACCUUAUAAAAGAAAGAAAAGACUACUGUAAGAGCAUGGAUGAGAUAUUUGAAAAAUGUAUAAAAAUAUUUCAAGUAUAGAAUAGGAACUAAAAGUAUGAUCACUGUGAUUAUGUGAUUAGACUAUGUGCUGACUGUAAUAGACAGUACUAUGUGUUAAGAUAUAUUGUUCUAAUCGAACGAAUGAUCUGAUUAUUGAUAGGUUGUGAUAAAGAGAUAAAACCUAAGUUGAGAUUUGUAAUCAGCGAAUCAGGCAAGUAUCCUACCUUUGCACUUCCUUUAUGCAAUGGACAUGAGUAAGAAGUUUCAGAAUUAUUCUAUCCCUGUACAGAUUAUGUACUCUUUGAUUAUCGACAUGUUAGCUCAGAUAUAUAUUCUGUUCAUUGAUUUCUAUAAAUGGUUAUACAAGUGUCCCCACUUGGAUAAUCAUGGCAUUUGUUCACAUGUUGAUACACCUUUGUCAAUUACCCGUAUAUAUAUGUUGAAUUACAUAUUAUUGUUGAGCAAGAUUAAAAACCUUCGGGUUUGGAACCAGGCAUGUAUGAACAUCCCUAUAUGGGAAGAUUUUUGCGCAAGGCGGAUAGAGUGAGCGAUGAAUUUCGUUCAAGUUAUGUAGUAUUGAUCAAUACAGGGUACAACGGGGCUGAUCACCCUCCGUGCCCGUAAGUUAUGACGGUUUGAGGAUAGAAUUCCGCUAAACCUUUUCGAAAAUGAAAAGAAUGUUCAUAGUAUGUUUCUUAAACCCUAUUCAAGGGUAGAGCCAGAGCCAAAUUUAAAGAAUUUGAAAGAGAGUUGUUAUGUGAAUUUUUUAUCAGUACAGAUUACUUCACAACUUUCAAUUCGUUGUAGAAGUGUUAUGUAAAGAGAAUACUUAUAUUCUUUCAGCUUAUAUAUAAUUGCUAUUACUUGCUGGGCACUUAAAUGCUCAUCCUUGCUUAAAUUAAAUGUUUUCAGUUAUGUAUGAGCAACCUGAAGGCUCAGGCACGAACAAAGGAAAAGGAAAGCUGAUCGAAUAAGUGUGUAUUAUGAGUUAAUGGUUAUAGUUGUAUUGGUAUCUAUUCAAGUAUUGUAAGAAAUGUAUUUGAAGGUCACGUACCUGGGGAAGUAAACUUUGAUGUAUGUAAAUUAAGUUCGAAUGUAUUAUUAUUUAGUAUUAUUCAGCUUAAAGAAAUGGUAUCGUGGAGAACCGAGUUCGGGUUUCAAGUACCUGGAUUUGGGGUCG
rnacentral:lncRNA from 1 species